GUUCUUGUAGUUAAAUUUUUUUAACGGCGGUUUUUCAGGUCGCAGAUCUCAGAGAAAGGCUGAGCGGGAACU
rnacentral:tRNA from 1 species